rnacentral:rRNA from 1 species
AGCGAACGCUGGCGGCAGGCUUAACACAUGCAAGUCGAGCGGGCAUAGCAAUAUGUCAGCGGCAGACGGGUGAGUAACGCGUGGGAACGUACCUUUUGGUUCGGAACAACACAGGGAAACUUGUGCUAAUACCGGAUAAGCCCUUACGGGGCAAGAUUUAUCGCCGAAAGAUCGGCCCGCGUCUGAUUAGCUAGUUGGUGAGGUAAUGGCUCACCAAGGCGACGAUCAGUAACUGGUCUGAGGGGAUGAUCAGCCACAUUGGGACUGAGACACGGCCCAAACUCCUACGGGAGGCAGCAGUGGGGAAUAUUGGACAAUGGGCGCAAGCCUGAUCCAGCCAUGCCGCGUGAGUGAUGAAGGCCCUAGGGUUGUAAAGCUCUUUUGUGCGGGAAGAUAAUGACGGUACCGCAAGAAUAAGCCCCGGCUAACUUCGUGCCAGCCGCCGCCGUAA